rnacentral:lncRNA from 1 species
GAGAAGUGAAAAACAUUGUUAUCACCCUAUUCAAAGGGUUGAAAGAGUCUUGUUUGGAGUUGUGUGGGGUUGAAUAAUUAUGUUUGUAAUGUUUUAGAAGUUGGCAGAAAAAGAAAAUAAAAAUAGAAAAGAAAAAAAAUGAAUGAAAAAAAAAGAAGGAUGUCAAUCAAUACAUACUCCUUCUGAAAAAGAAAACAAAA